rnacentral:rRNA from 1 species
UACGGGGGGUGCAAGCGUUGUUCGGAAUCAUUGAGCGUAAAGGGCGUGUAGGCGGCUGGAUAAGUCAGAUGUGAAAUCCCUGGGCUUAACCCAGGAAGUGCAUUUGAAGCUGUCCGGCUUGAGUAGGGGAGAGGAAGGUGGAAUUCCUGGUGUAGAGGUGAAAUUCGUAGAUAUCAGGAGGAACACCGGUGGCGAAGGCGACCUUCUGGCCCUAUACUGACGCUGAGACGCGAAAGCAUGGGUAG